rnacentral:rRNA from 1 species
AGCGAACGCUGGCGGCAGGCCUAACACAUGCAAGUCGAACGAACCCUUCGGGGUUAGUGGCGGACGGGUGAGUAACACGUGGGAACGUGCAUUUAGGUAGGGAAUAACUCAGGGAAACUUGUGCUAAUACCGAAUGUGCCCUUCGGGGGAAAGAUUUAUCGCCUUUAGAGCGGCCCGCGUCUGAUUAGCUAGUUGGUGAGGUAAUGGCUCACCAAGGCUACGGUCAGUUGCUGGUCUGAGAGGAUGACCAGCCACAUUGGGACUGAGACACGGCCCAAACUCCUACGGGAGGCAGCAGUGGGGAAUCUUGCGCAAUGGGCGAAAGCCUGACGCAGCCAUGCCGCGUGGAUGAUGAAGGUCUUAGGAUUGUAAAAUCCUUUCACCGGUGAAGAUAAUGACUGUAGCCGGAGAAGAAGCCCCGGCUAACUUCGUGCCAGCCGCCGCAGUAAUAC